AUGUGUACGAGUGCGCCUGCGGGCAUCGACAGAUUCAUAGUUAGGAAUGUUUCUAGGGUUCUACCCUUUGACUUAAGAUGGAUACUAUUCUAAGAGAGAAAGACGUUGAAUUUGACCUUGAAAGUGGUGGGAACACUAGCGAAGAGGAUGCAAGCAAUGAUCUUUGCGUUAGUGAGGGAGAAUCCAAGGGUGGUUUUCAUUGGGCAUGGAAUGGGAUUCUGAAUUUUGAUGGAUCAGAUAAGGGUAAAAUUGGGAUUGAAUCAUGUAGCAAUUCAGCAAAAUCUGGUGAUGUUGUGGUUGUGGAUGAGGAUAAUUUACAAUUAUUUGUGGAAAAGGGUUUGGAACAUGGUCAACAGCAAUUGUCUUAUGUAAAUGGUAAUCAUGUAAAACAGAAGACUAAUCCCAAAAAGCCUAGAAAGCCACCCCUGCCUCCUAAAGGUCCAUCACUGGAUGCUGGUGAUCAGAGGUUUGUGAAGGAGCUUGCUGAGCUUGCUUUGAGGAAGCGUGCAAGGAUUAAGAAAAUGAAAGCAGUAAGAAAGAUGAAAGCAAGGAAGUCAUCAUCAUCAUCAUCAACAUAUACCAGUCUUUCAGCCAUGGUCAUCACUAUUUUCUUCUUCCUUGUCAUAAUACUCCACGACUUUGAUUGCAGGAAUCAGAUCAGCGAGUAGUGCUGCUGUUGGCUUAAUGGCUUCCCCUGAGGCAGCAGUUGUGGCAGAUGAAGGUUUGAUUUCAGUUCAGUAUCCCAAAAACUUCAACACAAAUGAAGGAGAUGCACCUGGCUCUCGCUAUUCAGUUCUGAAGGAAAGAUGAUGUGGUAAUUAUGAAGAUUUUUUCCCUUUCAAUGUGAGGUUAGGCCAUUCUUUUCUAGUUUGAUUAUGUUUGUGUUCUUGUACAGCCAUUAGGAACCUUAGCUAUUUCUCAAGUUUUCUUGUACAGUGACCUGAU